rnacentral:rRNA from 1 species
AUUGAACGCUGGCGGCAGGCCUAACACAUGCAAGUCGAACGAGCGGCGGACGGGUGAGUAAUGUAUGGGAAUCUGCCCGAUAGAGGGGGAUAACUACUGGAAACGGUAGCUAAUACCGCAUACUAUCAGAUGAACCCAUAUGGGAUUAGCUAGUUGGUGGGGUAAAGGCUCACCUAGGCGACGAUCUCUAGCUGGUCUGAGAGGAUGAGCAGCCACACUGGAACUGAGACACGGUCCAGACUCCUACGGGAGGCAGCAGUGGGGAAUAUUGCACAAUGGGCGCAAGCCUGAUGCAGCCAUGCCGCGUGUAUGAAGAAGGCCUUAGGGUUGUAAAGUACUUUCAGCGGGGAGGCGUUACCCGCAGAAGAAGCACCGGCUAACUCCGUGCCAGCAGCCGCGGUAAUUC